rnacentral:rRNA from 1 species
AUUGAACGCUGGCGGAAUGCUUUACACAUGCAAGUCGAACGGCAGCACGGGGGCAGCCCUGGUGGCGAGUGGCGAACGGGUGAGUAAUACAUCGGAACGUGCCCGGUCGUGGGGGAUAACGUAGCGAAAGUUACGCUAAUACCGCAUACGAUCUGAGGAUGAAAGCGGGGGACCUUCGGGCCUCGCGCGAUCGGAGCGGCCGAUGUCAGAUUAGGUAGUUGGUGGGGUAAAGGCCUACCAAGCCGACGAUCUGUAGCUGGUCUGAGAGGACGACCAGCCACACUGGGACUGAGACACGGCCCAGACUCCUACGGGAGGCAGCAGUGGGGAAUUUUGGACAAAGGGCGCAAGCCUGAUCCAGCCAUUCCGCGUGCAGGACGAAGGCCUUCGGGUUGUAAACUGCUUUUGUACGGAACGAAAAGGCUCUGGCUAAUACCUGGGGCUCAUGACGGUACCGUAAGAAUAAGCACCGGCUAACUACGUG